UCUGCUGCCAAACUAGGCCUUCCACUUUCAGUGUAGUGUCAAAAACGUUCUUAUAUUGUGGGACGGAGGGAGUACAACAUAAGUUCAACACAACAACCAUAAGCUAAGCCCAUUGCUGAAAACAUGGGAAUGCUCAUUAAACCAAAUGUACCAGCACCAAACUACAGAUAAUGAGUUAUAUAAACCUAUUUCCAGAAACAUAAUAUGGGAUAAUUACAUUUUUUAAUUUACAGUUGAAGAUCCCUACACAUACUCCACGAUAUGUGCAAUGCACUGAUUGGGAUGAAAACCUGCAGAUUCAGAUGUAGAAUAGUUUUUGUUUAGCCGAGCAAUGAUAUAGGUCAGUUGACAACUCUCCUUUUGAUAAAUUUAAAGAAAGCUUCGCUUCAGCAACUAAUACCUCAGAUGGCUUCAAGAACUUACACUUCCCAUAAGUUAAUUGCAUGAAUUCAGUGGAAUUCUUUGGGCUUGCUUCUCGAGGUUUUUCCACAUUUCAUCUGCAGAUGUAAAACAUGGUAAGAAACUCGAAUAAUCUUAUCAGCUAAUGAAGAUAAUCAAUGAAAGGGGCCACUUAGGUCAUGGAUAUUUGAGAAUACACAGGAAACAAAAAGCAUAUCCAUUAUUGUGUGGUAAAUACAAAUAUUCUAAACAUCAUACCUGAUUCUGAUGCUAAAUUUAGUAAGAGCACUUCAAAAAAAAAAGAUUGUAAUAAGGAGUAAAGAAUAUAUUAUUCUCUUCGUUCUUCCUUGAAAUAUUAAACAAGCUCUCAUUAACUAAUUGGCAUAAUCCCAAUUGUAAGAACACUAAAAAGCUACUCCAUCCCCAAAAUGAAUGGCGCUUUUGGCUUCUCAAUCUUCAGUGUAUUUUUUUGAAAGGAGGCAAAAGAUUUGCCUCAUAUAUUAAAUAAGGUAGAAGAGAGUUUGAUACAACACACAUGUUACGGCAUGCCAAUUAUUCUCGCAAUAAAAAAGACCCUAGUUUCUUUGCCCCGACGUUGAUCCAAAGGUUUGCUUCGUCCACGAUUAAGUUGAGCAAGAUUGGCGGGGGCGCGCUCUUAUGACGAAACACGUGCAUUUCGCUCGUUCCAGAUGACCCACGACACAAGCAUGGUGAUCGAAGCCUUGGCUUUUCGGUCAGCGGUGCCCCUGGCGCUGAUGCCGGCCCACCACACCUCCACGGAGUCAAACAAGUGUCAUGAAGUGUCCAUAUCGUGCAUGCGAAAUUUGUGGAUGACCAGUCUUCACAACCUGAGAGUGAAAUGACACUGGAAGAAAAGGUGAGUACCACAUUCCUGCACACCCCUGCACAGGGGGCAAGAACCGCAAUUUGGCCAGCCCCGUCUCUCCAGUCUGUCGGUCAGUCUGUCGGCCGUCCAGAUCCUAUCUUGGAGCGCUAGCCAAGCGAAGAACUUGACCUUCGGAGGGGCCCAAGUCUUCCAAACAAUUCAGUCCAUAGGGGAGAGGACCAUUCCUAGAAACUGCGCCUUAUAGGCAGAGGUCGCGCAGUAAAGACCCGAGACUAUGUGCUUCAAAAGGAUGUCAUCCUCCAUGAGCAAAUCGAGAUGUACCUCAUGCACAAGCAUCCAAAGGGUGAAGAACUGAAUAACAUGCUCGGUGGUGACCAUUGUGGGCGGUUUGAUCAUGAGGAUCCAUGCGUUCUCCUUCAGUGCCUCCCGCACUUUCCAAUGCUUCCGCGCGGACGCCUCAUAGAUGAGCGGAGCAAUGUCUUUGGGUUUGCGUCCGAGCAGCCAGGGAGAGUCCCAAAAUGGUCUUUGCACCAUUCCCGACCGUGAUGAUGGUGCAACCAUAGAAGAAAUUAAGAUCAUCAUCAUCACACGGGUUGCCACGCCCUACCCACAGCUCUGUGGGCUCCUUCCAUUCGUACCAAGGCCACCACAAACGCGAGGCCCGAGCGAACUUGUCAGUGUUAAGGACCCCCAGCCCACCAUAGGCGAGUGGCCGGCUGACGAUGUCCCAGUUGACCUUGCAUUUCGCUCCGGUAGUCUUAUCCGAGCCAGACCAAAGGAAGGCUCUUUCGAGUUUGUCAAUACUUUGGAGAAUGGAGGUUUGGAUUAUCAAUGGCGUGAUGAAGUAGACCACUUGGGAGGCCAGGACCGACUUGACCAGAGCAGCACGCCCAAUGGUGGUGAUGUUUUGGCCGUCAUAUGUUGUCAAUCUGCUUGCCACUUUAUCCACAAGAAAUUGCAGGUCAACGAGCUUUAACUUCCACACGGAGAGUGGAAGCCCCAAAUAGCGCAUCGGAAAUGAAGUCCGAACAGCCGGCAGCCCCUGGGUGAUGCGUCCCAAGUCCAGAUUAUCGCAGCGAAUGGGAACCAUGGAGCUCUUAUGGAAGUUAGUGCACAGCCCGGUGACCUCACCAAAACCCCGCAAGAUGGCAGCGAGGUUAUCCACAUCUCUUUUGAUCGGAGCAAUAAACACCGCCGCUUCAUCCGCAUAGAGAAAAGUGCGCACCAUGACCCCUCUGCCCCGAAUUUUAUGAAGCAGCCCCUUCCUUGUUGCCACGUCCAGAAUAUGCUUCAGAGGGUCAAUUGCAAUGACAAAAAGGAGGGGGGAGAGGGGGUCCCCUUGGCGUAGACCCAUGCCAUGCUUGAUGGGGUCACCCGCCACCCCAUUGAGGAGGAUCCUCGAAGAUCAGGAAUAGAGGAGAGCAGCAAUCCACUCCCGGAAUUUGUUAGGGAAGUCUUCAAUGUAUGACUUUGAUUGCAAAUAGUAUGUCUACAAAAUUAGUAUAAAGCCAUGGUAUUUUGCAAGAUAAAUACAAGAUACCAUUCGUAUCCGCUUAAUCCAUACUUUGGUGCAUAUUAGUGGUCAAAGUAGUGCAUCAAAGACCGCGAACAGUCAAGUAUGCCUUACAUUUUGGAGGGGGUAACUUAGGUGUGGCAAGUUGUGGCAUGCAACCACGCAUGCCCAAAGUAACAUGCAACCACAAAUAAGUACUGCGUCCAUUUCAAGAUAUCUGUUUUCAGCCUACCAUGCGCACAGGUCAAGAAAAGAAUUCAUCAAAACUGAUUGUGCAUUUAUGCAUACCUUGGUGAAAUGAUAUGCUGCGACAAUUUAACAUCUACCAGUACAAUUUUCAUACAAAUCCAAAUGGUAGUGUGUAUUAGUGGCCAGAGUUUUUAAAAUUUUGACUGCACAUUCCAAGGCAAGAUCUAUUGACAACAGAGGUAAUAUUGUUAGGAAAGCAAUUUAUCUUUAUUGAAGGCCCAACGAGCAUAUAUAUAUUGCACAAGCCUUGAGGUGUAAGGAAAGUAAACAUAGACUAAUAAGGACUCCUAGACUAAUACUAAUACUUCCCCCGUGAAAACCGACACAUCAAGAGAAGAUGGGUUGUCAAAAGAUGACACAUCAAGAGAAUGAAGCAUUGCUUAAAGAAUCAUGGCCCGUGAAAACCGACGACAAAAAAAGCUCGGUGGCAAGAGAAUGGGCUUAGAUCAACAAUGCAAAGAGAGGCCACAAAAAUCCUAUUGAGAGGACAAUGACCAGAAAAAAGGCUGACGGACAAAAAUUUGAUGGACUCACAAAAAACAACUAGAAAGUGCAACACUGGACAAUGACAUGAGAAACACAAAAUAUCAACGGACUUAUUGGACGCAGCGGAAAAUAUAGAAAACUAGAAAACAACUAGCGAGAAGAGCAUGCAACACCAGACAAAGGUGCAUAAGCAUGCAACACUGGACAAAGGACGAAACAACCACAUUGGAUUUUUUUAAGCUAGCCGCUAACGGGAAGGACUAAUGGUAAUUAAGAGAACAGCAAACAGAGAUGUGGUUCAUUGUUUAGCAGCAACCAGCGCAGACAUGCAUGCAGCAGUAGCCCGCGUAGCAGAAGAUAGCAGCAGCUAUGCACACAGAAGCAAAGCUGCACAUGCCGCACGAAGGUAGCACGCAGCAGCAACGUGCGGAGCAGAGGCAGCGGCGGCCAAGAGGAGCACCACGUAGCAGGAACGUCAUGCUACUUGCAAGGAACGGUAACAGGACCAUCACGUAGCAGCAGGAACUGCUGCCCACACCGAAGCAGGGGUGAGCAGUCACACGCCCACGCAGCUGUAACGCGCCGGGCAGAUCGCGGGGCUGGUGGUGUCGUGGAGCAGCAGCGGCCGCCAGAUUGGAACGACAGCGGAAGGCAAGAUCGACCCAGAGAAGAACAAACCAAUUGAGGAAAAAAAAUAGUGGAUCUUAAGGACGAGUUGCAGCGUCCGGAGACCUAAACCUAGGCUCUAAUACCAUGUUAGGAAAGCAACUUAUUUUUAUUGAAGGCCCAAGGGGCAUAUAUAUAUAUAUAUAUUACACAAGACUUGAGAUGCAAGGAAAGUAAACAUAGACUAAUAAGGAUUCCUAGACCAAUACUAAUACUUCCUAACAAAUAUCACGAAUAAUAAAGUACUACCUCCAUCUUAUAUUUUAGGACGGGGGUAGUAUUAUGUUGGCAAGGUUUAGUUUGUUUUAGUGGUCAGUGUUUUAAAAGUUUGACUGCACAUUCCAAGGCGAGAUCUAUUGGCAACAGAGAUAGUAUCACGAAUAAUAAAGUAUUAUGUUGGCAAAUAGUCAGGGUAAGGUACACUGCAACUAUCAUUUAAUAAAUAACAUCACAAUAAAAGAGUGGAGCGGAACAUGCCUUUAAAUAUGUGCAACAGAUGAUGUCAUUAUGUAUUAGCCAUGGUAUAUUUUUUAACAAGCUGCUCAUAUAAUGGAAGAUGAUUCUUAGAAACAAAGACCCUGAACCUGUAAGCAGAUGAGAACAAGAUAUAUCAAAGGUUUAAUAGUUAAUUGUCUGUUAAGUCCUGAGCACAAUAAAUAAUGAAGAUUACAACACAUGCAGUUUUACCCUUCAAGAAGUGUGAGUCGCCCUGGAGAAGAAAACAGUUUCGCUAUUGCUUCAAGUGAGUCUUUGAUGUGCAUGGUUUUCAAUUUUAAGGCCUUCAUAAAUUCAACAAACUCUCCAUACUCUGCAGUACUGAGCUUUUCUCGAGCCUAGUAAAAAUAUUCAAAGUUAAGGAUUAUUAUCACAUACAUGAGUGCAACAAUAAACAUACUAACAAGAUAGCACUUACUCCGCAAAGCGCAAGACAAAAUCAAAUUACAGAGAGCAAGCGCAAGCAGCAUACCAACUUCAAGAAGGCCGGUCCAGUAGUAGAUUCCGGGCCACCACAUCUUUCUUGAAUAGCCUCAUUCUUUUCACAUGCUUGUUCAAUGGUACUUCUUUUCGAUGGAGGUGUAGAUUGUUGACCUUGGUUUCCAGUCAAAGCUCUCGACUCAACAUUAUGUUUCAAUUGUGAAGAGACAUCUGCUAUUUUAGCCUUCUUAAGUCUCAUAGACUUUAAGGCAUGUUCCUUCAAUUGUCCAUGCAUGGCCGCAUUAUCGAUCAAAUCAACAACCUGAGAAUCCUGAGAAAUUUGGCCCCUUGAGGAUACGUGCUGUGAAGAUGUGGAACAGCCAUGUUUCAUAGGAAGGGUGGUGCGAUUGGCAGGAGUGAUCUGGGUAAACUUCAUAUAGUUGUUUUUUCUGGUGGUUGCAUUCAAUGAUACUGUAGUUCCCCGGUGCCCAUUUACUGCUGUGGCAGGCUAGCAAGAGAUAGAAUACCAUCUAUAAACCGGAAGUACUAAACAGAAUACUGAUUAUCAAUGUGAAUGCAAAGGAUAUAGACAUACCGAGUCAGAUACAAUCUUCUGCGGCAGACAUUUGUCUGCAGGCGGUGUAACACUAUCUGCAUUUUUUUCAAUUCUUAAAUGGUAUAUAUAAAAUAUAAAUAAAGUGUAUUAAGUUUUUUCAAAAGUCAAACAUGCACAGCCCAAAUACAAUAUACACUCCCUCCAUUCCGAAAUAUAAGGUGUAUUAAGUUUUUUUAAAGUCAAACAUGUGCAUGUUUGACCAAGUUUUUAGAAAAAAAUAUCAAUAUCUAUCGUACCAAAUUUGUAUUGUUGGAUCCAUCACGAAAAGUAUUUUCAUAUUUUAUUUAUUCUCAAUUGUAUGAACCAUCGAAUUAAAGCCGGAUGGAUGAAGUGGCGUCAAGCUUCUCGCAUUCUCUGUGACAAGAGGGUGUCACAAAAGCUAAAAGACAAGUUCUAUAGGACGGCCCUUCGACCCGCAAUGUUGUAUGGUGCUGAGUGUUGUCAGACUAAAAGUCGACAUGUGCAACAGGUAGGUGUGGCGAAGAUGCACAUGUUGAGAUGGAUGUGUGGCCACACAAGGAAGGACCGAAUCCGGAAUGAUGAUAUACGAGAUAGAGUUGGGGUAGCGCCAAUUCAAGAGAAGCUUGUCCAACAUCGUCUGAGAUGAUUUGGGCUUAUUCAACGCAGGCCUCCAGAAGCCCCAGUGCAUAGCGGACAGCUAAAGCAUGCUGAUAAUGUCAAGAGAGGUCGGGGUAGACCGAACUUGACAUGGAAAGAGUCCAUAAAAAGAGAUCGAAAGGAUUGGAGCAUCACCAAAGAACUAGCCAUCGACAGGGGGCAAUGGAAGCUGGCUAUCCAUGUGCCAGAACCAUGAGUUGGUCGCGGGAUCUUAUGGAUUUCACCUCUAGCCUACCCCAACUUGUUUAGGACUAAAGGCUUUGUUGUUGUUGUACAUAUUUUCUAUUGUAUAUGUUGAUAUUUUAUUCUAUAAUCUUGGUCAAACAUACAUAAGUUUGACUUGCACGAAAACUGAUGCACCUUAUAUUAUGGAACAGAGGGAGUAGUAAUUAAACACAGCACUUCAUAAGCAUAUAAACCAGAACUGCAAGAAAUGUCAUGUUGUUCUUUUCCAUUGUUGUACUGUACAGAAUGGACCAACCUAUAAUCAGCAUUCAACAGCCGGUUUAAACUUGUGGUGGUUGACUUCCGCUUUCGGAUUCGUGUCCAACGGGAUAAGCGCACCAAAGUUGCUAGAACAAAAUGGUGGAAGCUCGGGGGAGGGGGCAGCUCAGGCUUUCAAGGAGAAGGUUAUCAAGGAGGGCUCUUGGGAGGAAGGAGGCGGAGAAGGUUAUCAAGGAGGGCUCUUGGGAGGAAGGAGGUGAUGCAAACAAUAUGUGAAUGAAGAUGGCGACUUGAAUUCAAAAGGUGGCUUCGAAGGAGUUUAGGUGACCAGGGGAAGUAGAAGCGGAGAUAACGAUGCCUGGUGGUAAAACGAUAAUGUCGAGAAGGCUAUUAAGAAGAAAGACUGUUUCAGACGCCUAUACUUGGAUAGGAGUGCGGACAACAUAAAGAAGUACUAGGUGGCAAAGAAGACCACAAAGCGAGUUGUGAGUGAAGCAAGGGGUUAGGCAUAUGAGGACCUCUACAAGCGUUCAAACACAAAGGAAGGUGAAAGGGGCAUCUACAAGAUGGCCAAGAUCCAAGAGAGGAAGACGAGGAUGUCAACCAAGUCAAAUGCAUCAAGUAGGAGCGGGUUGGCUUUUGGUGAAGGACGUAGAAAUCAAGCAUAGAUGGUGAGAGUACUUCGACAAAGUGUUCAAUGGAAAGAAUGAGAGCUCUCCAAAUUGAGCAAGACGACUCUUUUGAUGUUACCAACAGAAGUUUUGUGCGACAAAUCCAGGAGUCUACGGUCAAGGCGGCUUUGGAAAGGAUGAAAGGAGGCAAGGCGAUGGGCCCUGAUUGUUUCCCCAUUGCGGUACGGAGAGGCCUUGGAGACAUGGUGAUAGUAUGACUAACUUAGUUUUUCAGCCUCAUUUUUGGUCAAACAAGAUGUUCGAAGGAAUGGAGGCAGAGUAUAGUAGUACCAAUCUUUUUUUUAAACAAUAGUACCAAUCUUCAAGAACAAGGGGGAUGUUCAAAGUUGUACUAAUUACCGUGGAAUUAAGCUGAUGAGCCAUGAAGCUAUGGGAGAAAGUCAUUGAGCACCGCUUAAGAAGAAUGACAUGCAUGACCAAGGAAUAUACAAGGAAAUAUCCCAUGGUGUAUGCUCUCUGCGGAUGAUGUGGUGCCAGUUGACGAUAGUCAAACCAGGGUUGAUACAAAGUUAAGUUGUGGAGACAAACUUUAGAAUCAAAAGGUUUUAGUCUUAGUAGAACUAAAACUGAGUACAUGAGGUACGGUUCCAGUAUCACUAGGCACGAGGAGGUCAGCCUUGAUGGACAUGUGGUACCUCAGAAAGAUAUCAGUCGAUAUUUGGGGUCAACAUCGCAAAAGGAUGAUGAUGUCGAUAAAGAUGUGAGCCAUUGAAUCAAAGCGGAUGGAUGAAGUGGCGCCAAGCUUCUGGAGUCCUUUGUGCCAGGAGAGUGCCACAAAAGCUAGAAGGCAGGCUCUAUAGGACGGCGAUUCGAUCUACGAUAUUGUAUGGCGCAAAAUGUCGGUCAACUAAAAGAUAACAUGUCCAACAGCUAGGUGUAGUAGAGACGCGCAUGUUGAGAUGGAUAUAUAUGUGAUAUAGUUGGGGUAGCACCGAUCGAAGAGAAGCUUGUCCAACAUCAUUUGUGAUUGUUUGGGCAUAUACAACACAGGCCUCCAGAAGCGUCAGUGCAUAGAGCACGGAUAAGGCGUGCUAAUAAUGUCAAGAGAGAUCGGGGUAGACCAAACUCGACAUGGGAGGAGUCUGUACAGAGAGAUCUGAAGGCCUAGAAUAUCACCAAAGAAUUAGCCAUGGAAAGGGGUGUGUGGAAGUUACCUCUCCACGUGCCAGAAAUAUGACUUGGUUUCGAGAUCUUAUGGUUUUGAACUCUAGCCUACCCAACUUGUUUGGGACUAAAAGGCUUUGUUUUUGUUGUUGUUAUGCAGAAGUGGGUUGUAAAGAGACUCUUGCAGUAUCAUACAAAAAAGGUGAUGAUAUUAUGACAACAUGAUGCAUGACUUCGCAUGCAAAACCAAGCGAUGGGACCAUGCGUAGAAAUUAGAACAUGUAGGCACAAUUUGAGUCAAACUUUAAAAGAGGUACAAGUAUUAUUCUUGUUGAACCGUUAUGGGCUGUCUGGCCCGUCUCACUUAAGCCCACAAGGCCCAGCCCUUGAGAAGACCUAGAAGGUGGAGCUCCCAGUCCCUCCCUUGAGAGCCAGCCGCCACAGCAGCCACAACACCACACGGGAGCAACCAGGAAAAGGUUGUCCCAUCGCGAGGUAGUCCUCCCCCCUUCCCGUUCUACAUGGUAUCAGAGGCCAGCGACGGCGGGGCCUGAGGAGACGGCGGUGACGUCUGGCGAGGUGGCGGCGGAUUUGGGCGGCGUCCGGCACAGCGGCGGCAGAUCGGCGUGGCUGCGCAGGAGGUGCGGCUCAUUGGCUGCACGGCGGGAAGGAGAGGUGGAGCUGCUGUGAUGCGCGGCAGAGGAAGGAGGAGACAGCUGAGGAGCUGGUUGGUCUCCUCGAGAGUGGAGCUUUCCCAAAGAUCUUGUACCUCUUGCUGCGGCUGCUGCUUGCUCCUCAGCGUGGCGCGCUGUGGUGCAGCGGGAGGAGAAGAGGAGAACGGUAGUGGAGAAGGGCAGCUCCUUGUUGUGCUGCAGUGUGAGCUGGAGAACUGCUGAGGGGGUUGGCUGCUGUUGGAGGCCAAGAUCCUCUGAAACUGCUGCUGUUUGCAGAGGAAGGAGGAAGAGACCUGCUGCUGUUUGCAGCGGAAGGAGGAAGAGAACUGCUGCUGGAGGAAGCGGCUGUGGUUGCUGCUUGCACUUGGGUGCUGCUGCUAGCCAAGGGGCGUAAAGGGACCAACUGUGCAGUUGUAGGGUUGUGCUGCUGAGGGCUGCAGUUGCUGGUUACCGUAUCGGAGAUGGCUGAACCAAAUGCGCUUGCUGAGGCUUUCGAGAAGCUUGCUAAGAUCCUCGCAGAGUCCGACUCUGGGGCCAUCGUUCCUCGACAAGAAGUGGCUCAGAAGCUCGAAAUGUCACCCCUGGACAUGAAGUUGGAGGGGGCCACAAAUUACUUGAGUUGGUCCAGGAGGGCAUUGUUGGCUGUAGAACAGAAGGAACUUGAUGGGCACUUAUUGGGUACCAUUGAUGAACCAGGAGACAAGAAUACCGCGGAGGGAAAGAGGUGGAAGGUCAUAAACUCUGUGCUCGUUGGCUGGUUGUUUAACUCAGUGGUGCCCUCCAUUGAACGCUCUGUGGAGGGACUAUCCACGUCCGCCGAGAUAUGGAAGACCCUCUCCACCCAAUACUCAAGCAAGGGUAAUUUCAUGCUAAUCACUCAGAUUGAGGGAAAGAUCAGUCGGUUGCGCCAAGGUGACGACAUGUCCGUGAUGGUCUAUGUGGCAGAGCUGCAGGCUUUGUGGGCGGAGCAGGAUAAUUGUGAUCCUUUGGAACUCUAUGAUGCGGCUUGCAUCGAGUCAGGGCGCAAGUGGAUUGCACGCAGGCGUGUGCUGAAACUGUUGGAAGGGUACAGUGGUUGCUUUCAUGGAAGGGGGGCAUCCUUGUUGCACCAACCUCUCCUGCCAACUAUCUAUUGAGGAGACUAUUGCACCAAUGUCUCGAGAGGAGGUGAGGCUAUCUCUUGAGCAUGCAGACGUGAAGGUUGCACCGACUUUGACAUUUGCAGUCACUAAGCGCAUGGAGUGGGAAGAUCCCAACAAAUGUCAUAUAUGUAGGGAGGUAGGUCACUGGAAGAGGGAAUGUCCAACUCGUGGCAGAGGCAGGGGAUAUAACAGAGGAGGAACUAGCAGAGGCAGGGGAUACAACAAAGGAGGAACUGGCAGAGGCAGGGGAUACAACAGAGGCAGGAACUGGCAGAGGCAGGAACUGGCAGAGGCAGGAACUGGCAGAGGCAGGCAGGCUAGAGGCGGAGGUGGAUAUAUAGGGACCUCAGGGGGUCAACCUUCUUGGAGCAGAGGUGGUCACUCAGGAAACCCAGGGGCCAGAGGGCACAUAUGGUAGUUGAAGGAGACACUGUGAAAUCAAAGGGCGAGGCGGUUGAUGAGUCUACCUAUGGAGACUUUGCUCACUGGGCCUCCAUUGAUGAAGGUAAUCCGACAAAGGCAUCUGUUACUCCUAAUAUGGAUGCUCCAGAGUGGGUCCUAGACUCUGGAGGAUCUAAGCAUGUUGCGGGUAAUUCCUGUGUGUUUGAGUCUUACAAUAAGCAUCCUCCUACUCACAAGGGCACUAUUCAAACUGCUGAUGGUACAAAUCAGCCUGUCAUAGGGGUUGGCACAGUCAAAUGCACUGCUAUCGUCAGUUUUAUAUGUGCCAGCUUUUCCUGUCAAUUUGGUCUCUUUCAGUGCUCUCAUUGAUCAAAUAGAUUGUCCUGUGAUCCUUGACAAGUUCGGUUGCUUGAUUCAGGAGCGCCAGACAAGCCAGAUGGUUGGGACUGGCACCAGGCGUAAGGGGCUCUGGUGCAUGGACCAGGAGGUGCAGCCGGACUUGGUGUAUGCUGCGACCAUGGAGGACAAGGAGAAGCAGGCGAUGAUCCAUCACUGCAGGAUGGGGCAUGUAUCUUUUGAUAAGAUGAGUAGAAUAUUUCCGGAUGUUAUGUGUGCAAUAGGCAAGGGCAAGUUGACAUGUGAUGCUUGCAAAUAUGCAAAACACACACGAGCCUCAUAUGUGAGUAAGGGGCUUAGGAGCAUAUCUCCCUUUAUGCUUAUUCAUUCGGAUGUAUGGACUAGCCCAGUAGUGUCAAUGAAUGGAAAGAAGUAUUUUGUUACCUUCAUCGACUGCUAUUCUCGUAUGACUUGGAUUUACUUGAUGUGUCACAAAGAUGAGGUGUUUAGUUGUUUUCAAAACUUCCAUGCUCUUGUAAAGAACCAGUUUCAGGUGCAGGUCAAGGUGCUUAGGACUGACAAUGGCACAGAGUAUGUCAACAACAUUUUUGGGGCUUUCAUGGCUGGCCAAGGGAUUCUUCAUCAAACUUCAUGUGCGGAGGUUGCUCGGUCGUUGAUGUUUACCAUGAAUGUGCCAAAGUUCUUGUGGGAUGAAGCAGUUGUGGCAGCUACAUACCUGAUCAACCGUACACCUUCCAGGAUACUAGGCAUGAAAUCUCCGGCUGAGUUGCUCGCUGGAGAUAAUAAGUUUGUUGUCCCCCCAAAGCUGUUUGGCAGUACCUGUUUUGUUCAUGAUCACCGACCAUCUGUUGGCAAACUUGAUCCUCGAGCAGUGAAGUGUAUCUUUUCUGGGAUACUCUUCUAGUCAGCAUGGGUAUAAAUGUUGGUGUCCCUCUGAAAAACGCAGGUUUGUAAGUAUGGAUGUUACCUUCAGGGAGUCUGAGCCAUUCUAUGGCGAGCCGACUGAUCUCAGUCUGUUGUUUGCAGAGCUUGACCACCUACACCCUAUGCAUGAUGGUCAAGAGGGGGAGAAGGAGGUGUCCCAUACUCACAGUGAUUCUGUCGGCAUUAACACUGAUAAUGAUGUGUAGGUUCAGGUCCAACCAAUAGUGGGUACAAUUUUGGUUAGUACUCUCACUAAUGAUGAUGUGCACGUUCAUGUCGAACCAAGUGUCGGUACACUUAAGAUUGGUGCUCUCCAGGUUCCUGUUCGAGAUCGAUGGCAGAUAAAUACCUUGGUGUACUCUCGACGGCAACCACAAGUGCAGGGGAGCAGCAAGGUAGUGAGGCAAGAGUACAUAGGGAGCAGCAAGGCAGUGAGGCAACAGUACAGGGGGAGCAGCAAGACAGUGGGGCAAGCUCAUCUGACACGGUGGAGUUGCCCAUUGCGUUGCGAAAGGCUACACGUGAAGCAACAAGGAAGGGUGAAGUAGCAAGGAAGACUCUACCAAAGGAUGAUGCUUGUGAUGACCUUGAUAUUGGCAAUUUUGUGUCUUAUAAGGAUUUGUCACCUUCAUAUAAGGCGUUUGUUGCAUCCCUUCAAACUGUGUCAAUCCCAAAGGAUUGGAAGGCUGCAAAGCAAGAUCCGAAGUGGCGCAAAGCGAUGAUAGAAGAGUUGGAAGCACUGAGGAAAAACAAGACAUGGGUGCUAACCACAUUGUCGGCAGAAAAGAAAGCAGUGAGUUGUAAGUGGAUCUAUACAGUGAAGCAGAAUCCUGAGGGUAAGGUGGAACGGUAUAAGGCCAGAUUGGUCGCCGGAGGAUAUAGUCAAACUUAUGGAAUUGACUAUGAUGAGACAUUUGCGUCCGUGGCAAAGAUGAACACGGUUAGGAUAUUGGUCUCUUGUGCUGCAAACUUUGGGUGGAAGUUGCAUCAAUUAGAUGUCAAGAAUGCCUUCUUAUAUGGUGAGUUGCAGGAAGAAGUGUACAUGGAGAUACCGCCAGGUUUUGGUACUUCAAAGACCACGGGGAAGGUAUGUAGGCUGAAGAAAUCCUUGUAUGGAGUGAAGCAAUCACCGCAGGCAUGGUUUGAUAGGUUCAGACGUGCUAUCCGUGGUAUGGGGUAUGGUCAGUGUAACGGUGACCACACGAUGUUCUACAAACGCUCUGAUCGGAAAAUCACCACUUUUGCUGUUUAUGUAGAUGACAUUACUAUCACUGGAGAUGAUAAGGAGGAAAUACAGAGAUUAAAGGGUUGUUUGAGCAAGGAGUUUGAGGUAAAGGAUCUAGGCAACCUAAAAUAUUUCCUUGGCAUUGAAGUGGCUCGGACAGAGAAGGGAAUCUCUAUGUGCCAACGAAAAUAUACCUUGGAUCUCUUGAGUGACAUGGGCAUGAUGGGACGUCAUGUUGCCCCUACUCCGAUUGAACAAAAUCAUCAAGUGACAGCACAAUCAAGAGAUCUAGUGAAUAAGGAAGAUUAUCAGAAAUUGGUUGGGAGAUUAUUGUACUUGUGUCAUGCCAAGCCUGACAUUACGUAUGUUGUGGGGGUGGUAAGCAGAUACAUGCAUGAACCAAGGAGUGGGCACCUUGAUAUCCUGCACAGAAUCCUGAGAUACUUGAAGGGGACUCCGGGUAAAGGGUUGUGGUUUGGGAAGAGUGAACACCUUGAGGUGGAUGGCUAUAGUGACUCUGAUUGGGCUAGUUGUCAAGAUGAUAGAAGAUCAACUUCUGGCUACUGUGUGUUUGUGGGAAGAAAUUUGGUGUCAUGAAGCAAGAAACAACCUGUUGUAUCUAGAUCAACAGCAGAAGCUGAGUAUAGAGCUUUAUCUCAAGGGUUGUGUGAGAUGCUCUAGGUGAAGUACGUACUGAGCGAGUUGAAACUUCUAAGGAAGGGGCCCUUGAAGGUGUGGUGUGACAAUCAAUCCGCUAUAGCCAUUGCUAAUAAUCCGGUUCAACAUGACAGGACAAAACAUGUGGAAAUCGAUCGCUUCUUCAUUAAAGAGAAACUUGAUGUUGGGAUCAUCGGUCUUACUCAUGUCAGCUCUGGGCAGCAGUUUGCAAAUUGCUUAACAAAGGGACUGGGAACAAAGGAUUGUAACUUGGCAUGUGACAAGAUGGGAAUGCUAGAUAUCUACCACCCAUCUUGAGGGGGAGUGUUGAACCAUUAUGGGCUGUCUGGCCCAUCUCACUUAAGCCCACAAGGCCCAGCUCUUGAGAAGACCUAGAAGGUGGAGCUCCCAGUCCCUCCCGUGAGAGCCAGCCGCCACAGCAGCCACAACACCACACGGGAGCAACCAGGAAAAGCUUGUCCCAUUGCAAGGUAGUCCUCCCCCCUUCCCGUUCUACAAUUCUUGGGUCGCAAUAUUCACCACACGUGUGGCACAUUGGACACCCGACCACACGAUCCUGUGUGGCAUAUCCAAGAGGCAGCCCACACGAUCCUGUGUGGGCAAAGAUUAGAACUGCCCACACGUCCGGGCGCAGCUACUUCGUGCCACACGCCCAACAACAAUUACUCAUCCCCACCCCGUAUGUGUGGCACGAAGCAAUUCUACCCUGACAUUUUUUUAUGGCAACUUCUCUGUUUUCGUUAACUAUAGUUGUCAUGUCUAACUAAUGGUAGUUGCCACGGAUGAUCAAAUCAUAGUUGUCAUGUAUGGUCAACCAUAGUUGCCACGUGUGGUCAAACCAUAGUUGUCAUGUCUGGUCAACCAUAGUUGCCAUGUGUGAUUAACUAGUUGUCACGUGUGGUCCAACUAUAGUUGCCAUGUAUGGUCAACCAUAGUUGCCAUGUGUGAUUAACUAGUUGCCACAUAUGCAUAGUUGUAGUUGCCAUCUAUCACCGUACGAGCGUUGUGUGGGCGAAGAGCAGUUCACCCACAUGACGUGGACUGGAUGGUGUCCGUAUGGGCGAGGACCGGUUCACCCACACGGCGAAGCUGGCAACCGCAUGCUGCAGGUCGUGCAAGGCCGUGUGGGCGAGGCUCUAACCCCCACACUGCACACUACGCCUACGUGGCACUCCAAUUCCGUUAGAAAUCGUCAAGAUUCGUGCAAACCAGACCAGACGAAGAUUAAGGCGUGUGGACGAAAUGUAGAGAUGACACAUGUGUGGCCGUUAUCAUUUGGGUUAUUCUUUCUUCCAAAUUUCGAUAGUCUGUCACAAAUUGAUUUGUGGGAACGCAAUCUGUAUGGGAAGAUUAUAUUAGGAUCAAUAUGGGAGCACUUGGGCGGGAGGCCCUAGGUGCAGAUGUUAUGUGUGAGGAGCUGAGGGGCAGAGAAAGAUGGGAUGUCUUCUAAUUCUUUGCUUGAUUAAAUCUCAUGGUGGCUACCUCAUAUAUAUAGAGGGUCUGCCUUAAAAACCGACUCCGAGUCUCUGACUCCAUGUCUAAUACGAACUAACCUAUGGCCUAUUCUAUAUGAAUUAACCUGUAGCUUUCCUAUCAAUGGUAAUUCUACUCAAGGACUCUGCUUGCAGUAGCAAUCCUCCCAUCAAUAGGAAUUCUUCAUGUUGAUGUGUUCUCCUAAUCUGGAGGAUUAGCAGGAGCGGAUUUGUCUUGUAUUGGUGUUAUCUCUAAACUAGACUGCGGGGGUGCCGAGCGGUGACCACAACGACUAUAUGUUAACAUAGUCAAAAUUAGUGUUCAAGUUUGUGUAUUCAACACCUUGGAGCUCGUGAACUAUGGCAGACUGCUCAUCCACCAGCACUGCAGGUAGUGCUGGCAUGUUGGCUUAUGUGUUAACUGGUAUUGGUGUUAUCUCUAAACUAGACUGCGGGGGUGCCGAGCGGCGGACCACAACGACUAUAUGUCUGCCCCCACAUAACAUAGUCAAAAUUAGUGUUCAAGUUUGUGUAUUCAACACCUUCGAGCUCGUGAACUAUGGCAGACUGCUCAUCCACCAGCACUGCAGGUAGUGCUGGCAUGUUGGCUUAUGUGUUAACUGGUAAGGGUUGGAUUUUCUAAAAUGAUCUGACCAGCAAACCUUCCCAAAUUACUAAUCUAACUGGCCCCUUACAUCUAUGACCCAAUAAUUGGUAGCACUGCCACUACCUUACGUGGGCUGCAGGCUAUAAUUUGGCAGGGUAAUUAACUAAAUAUAGAACCUUGCCGAUGUGCUCUGGAUGAGAAUUUUCCACCAAUUAAUAUCACCAAAAUUCAGUUCAAGCUCCAAAAGGUUGAGUCAAUAUGAAAUUUAGUCACCAUUUAAGCCCAUGUUUUAGCAAGCUUCGCAGAUCAAACCAUCAAGAAGCAAACCAGGCAAAAGUUUUGAAAUAACAAUCAAUUAAAUAUUUCAGCGGACCACAACUGGUAUUAAAAGAAUGACAAAAGCAAACAAAGAGUACCAUCUCAAGAUUCAAAACAGGAUCCUUACCAUUACAGUCCAUCUCUUUUGGGUCUACACAAACUUUAUCCCGGAAAAAUCUUGUCAGUGUUUGAACUACUUCCCCAUACUUUGAGUAGCACUGCAGGGAAAAUAUUAGUAGAGAUAUCUCAAAGAGGCAGGAUAAAAUCAAUAAGAAUACCUUUAUACAAAAGGAAAAUAUUAGUAGAGAUAUCUCAAAGAGGCAGGACAAAAUCAACAAGCAUACCUUUAUAUAAGGUUUGAGCCAAUAGGACAUCUGGGAUUGGUAAUUUGGCCACACAAACCUGCAAAUCAUGUGCAGUGUCAAGAAACUCACUUAAUUCAAGGAUUAUUGAAAGUGUCUUCUUAUGCUAGGUGGAUUGUCUCCUUCAAAAGGGACAGUUGGCUCAUUUCUCAUUGACUGGUUAAGCUCCUUAACAAUGUAAGGGCUAGGGUUGCUGUAGAGGUUUCCCCUACUGUUUCCUCAUAAAAAAUGUAUACUUACAGAAAAGCCAUCUGGAAUGCUAAAACAGCAGAAAUGUAGAACAGGGGAAACGCACAAAGCAAAGGUGGAACACUGAAAACACUUUAUUGUGGUGUUAUCCCGUUGGGAGGUUUAGCAGAAAACUAUGCAUAUACUCCUUGCAGGGAACAUAUAACUGGAUUUAGACCUUUCGUCACAGUAAAUAAUUGCUCCAUAGUCAUGGCGAUGUCUGAUGACACGUCCAACAGCCUGAUUGACAGCCCUUGCUGCUUGUUGCACAUACCACUCCUCUCCUGUCAAAGCCUACAAAAUGUUUAAAAUUCAUUUUAAAUUCCAAGUAUGAAAGCAGAGGGAUGAAAUUACUUACAACAACAAAAACAACAACAAUAACUAAUCCUUUAGUGCCAAACAAGUUGGGGUAGACUAGAGCUCAUGGUCCUGGCGCGUGGAUAGCUAACUUCCACGCACCCCUCUCCAUGGCUAGUUCUUUGAUGAUAUUCCUGUCCUUCAUAUCUCUCUUUACAGACUCCUCCCAUGUUGAGGCGUUGUAUAUGCCCAAACCAUCUCAGACAAUGUUGGACAAGUUUCUCUUCAAUCGGUGCUACCCCAACUCUUACGUAUAUCAUCAUUCCGGACCCGAUGCUUUCUUGUGUGGCCACACAUCCAUUUGAAAAUCGCAUCUCCGCUGCACCUAACUGUUGAACAUGACGCCUUUUAGUCAGCCAACACGUCAUACAACAUUACUGUUCGAAUCGCCGUCCUAUAGAACCUGCCUUUUAGAUUUUGUGGCACUCUAGUCACAAAGAAAGCUUUGUGUCACUUCAUCCAUUCGGCUUUGAUUCGAUGGCUAACAUCUUCAUCGAUAUCACCAUCCUUCUGCAACAUUGACCCUAAAUAUCGAAAGGUUCCUGAGAUACCAUCUGCCCAUCAAGGCUAACCUCCGCCUCCUCGUGCCUAGUAGUAUUGAAACCAUACCUCAUGUCUAAAGCCUUUCAAUUCAAAAAUUUGUCUCCUUAGCUCUAACUUUCUAUUAACCCCAUACGACUAUCAUCGACCAUGAGAUACCUCCUUGUAUAUACCUUGUGACCUCAUCCAUCACCAAAGCAAAAAAGAUAAGGGCUCAAAGCUGACCCUUGGUGCAGUCCUAUUUUAAUUGGGAAGUCAUCAAUGUCGCCAUCACUUGUUCAAACACUUUUCACCACAUUAUCGUACAUGUCCUCGACGAGGGUAAUGUACUUUGUUGGGACUUUGUGCUUCUCCCAGGCCCAUCACAUGACAUUCCGCGGUACUUAUCAUAAGACUUCUCCAAGUCAAUGAACACCAUACGAAGGUCCAUUUUUUCCUCCCUGUAUCUCUCCAUAAGUUGACGUGCCAAGAAAAUAGCUUCCAUGGUCGACCUCCCAGGCAUGAAACCAAACUGAUUUUUUGUCACGCUUGUCAUUUUUCUUAAGAGGUGCUCAAUAACUCUCACAUAACUUCAUUGUAUGUCUCAUAAACGUAAUUCCACGGUAAUUAGUACAACUUUGAACACCCCCUUGUUCUUGGAAGAUUGGCACUAAUAUACUCUAUCUUCCGUUCUUCUGGCAUCUUGCUUGCCCGAAAAAUGAGGUUGGAAAGCUUAGCUAGACAUACUAUCGCUAUGUCUCCAAGGCCAGACCUCUCCACACCUCAAUGGGGAUACAAUCAGGGCCCAUCGCCUUGCCUCCUUUCAUCCUUUUUAAAGCUUCCCUGACCUCAUACUCCUGGAUUCGUCGCACAAAAACGCAUGUCGGUACCAUCAAAGGAGUCGUGCAACUCAAUGGUAGAGCUCCCAUUGUCCAUUGAACAGCUUGUCGAAGUACUCCGGCCAUCUAUGCUUCAUCUCCUCAUCCUUCACGAGGAGUUGAUCUGCUCUGUCUUUGAUGCAUUUGACUUGGUUGACAUUCCUCGUCUUCCUCUCUUGGGUCUUGACCACCGUAUAGAUGUCCCUUUCGCCUUUCUUCAUUUCUAAGUGCCGGUAGAGGUCCUCUUACGCCUGAUCCCUUGCUUCACUCACAGCUCGCUUUGCGGCAUUCUUUGCCACCUUGUACUUACAUAUGUUGCUUGCACUCGUAUCCAUGUGUAGGCGUCUAAAACAGUCUUUCUUUUCCUUAAUAACCUUCUGGACAUCAUCGUUCCACCACCAUGCGUCUUUAGCUUUGCUUCUACUUCCCUUAGUCACUCCAAACUCCUGUGAAGCCACCUUACGAAUGCAAGUCGCCAUCUUCAUCCACAUAUUGUUCGCAUCUUACGAAUGCAAGUCGCCAUCUUCAUCCACAUAUUGUUCGCAUCACCUCCUUCCUCCCAACGGCCCUUCUUAAUGACCCUCUCCUUGAAAGCUUGAGUCCCCCCCCCCCCGAGCUUCCACCACUUUGUUCCAGUGACUUUGGCGCGUUUAUCCCGCUCGACACGAAUCGGGAAGAGGAAGUCGGCCACCACAAGCCUACGUUGAGGGACAACACUCUCUCCAGGUAUCACUUUACAAUCUAGGUAAGCACGCGAGGACGAAAUCGAUCUUGCUGGAGUGUCAACCACUACUAUAAGUUACUAGAUGUGAUUCUCUCUUUUAAAGAGGAUGUUAGCUAUGAUCAUGUCGUAGGCUAGAGCUAAGCUUAAGACAUCUUCUCCUUAAUUCCUGAUGCCUUAGCCAAACCCACAUGCACCCCUACAAAACCUGUGUUAAAUGUACCCACUUAGCCAUUGAGGUCUCGUCUUAUUAAGAGCUUCUCGCCAAUAGGUAGACCCCUAACCUUGUCUUCACUCCAAACCUUGUGGCCUACUUGCGGGGCAUACGCUCUGAUAACAUCAAGAACUAGUCCCCAACUACCAGCUUGACGGGGAUGGACUUACAUUGAAUGCAUAAAGUACAUUUGCUCCAAGUUCCCGAUAUAACCACAUCUAAUUGAUUAAAGGAACAACAAUAUGACUAAGGAACUUUUUCGGGGGAGUUUUAUUUUUUAAAGCAAGACGGCCUAAAUGGCACUCAGACUAUUGAUCAUGUAUAAGAUCAGGAAGAUUGGUAACUUUUACCACAAAUUUAUUUGAAAGGUUCUCUAUCAAAGAAAAUAUUGUUGGAAGCCCGUUAAACUCCACUUGUCCAUGACAAGACAUCGGAAAUGCUGAAAAUGAACUUGUGCAAGCCCUUGGAUAUUCUCAUGGAUGUGAAGUGCCUAAAACCUGUAGAGGGUAAUGUUGGAUGCGGUCAUUUUACCCCAAAAGCAAGUAGUUUGAGGUACCUUCUUGAGCCAGCCAUGCUGCCAUGGUGGUAUUUGUCAAGGAUUCAAGUUCCUCGACCAUUGCUUGAUUCGAAGAAGACGGGCCUCCCAUGCUUUAGAGCUUGUAGAGAUUCAUAAUCAAGGAUGAACUUCAUCGGCAAUGCAAUGUUGCGUGUUGUAAUCACUCUCUAGGGAACUCAUGUUGGCACAUGCUGCAUAGAGCAGGUGGAGAUUCAAAUCCAGAUUUCGGGCUUCACAUCAUCUUGUGCAUCAGCCAAACUAACGCUCCCCCCCCCCMCACACACACACAAAAACACAAUUCGUCUAGAUAUAAUUUUCAGGAUGUUAUAUGGUUUCUGGUGUUUGCGCAACAUAAUUGUUUUGCUUUCAAUGUGUGCUGAUCUUACACCUUUGGGCGCACACGCGUGGGGGGUGGGGGUCUAAGGGAGGACAUUUUGAUAACGUCGACAUGGGCCUUGGUUCCACUAACUUCUACGGUGACAAUGCAUGUUUAUCAUUACUUUGACAGUGAUAAAAUUGCAUUUUUAGAUCAUUUUGACUAUCUAUAAUCUUGAGAGGUACACUUCUGACUUUGCCAACWUAUCCACCUUUCCCAAUCACACGUCAAGCAUCUUCCAUGCAAAGGCCCCUACUUCCUCCCACCUUGGAAUGUACUCCCGAUCCCUGUAGCAUGGUAAGAAAAAUACAUGCAACACAUACAUCCUCCCGUGUUUUUUGGAUCCCUGCAACACGAUUAAGGCACAAAAAACGCGCAGGGGGAGGGGGCGGGGGCAGGGGGACGGAUAGACGCUAGUCUUGAUUCGGUUGUGCGCCUCCCUCCCAGUGGAAGAAGUCGGCGAGCGCCAUCCUGCAGUUGGUCGUGCCGUCAAAGGUGAAUUCCAGGUCGUUGUGUCAUUCGGUUAGGUGCAAAUUUCGAGAUAAUCCCAUCCUAAUGUGUCGUUGAUAUUGUUCUUACUUCUUGGGGAUUGUAGGAUGGGAGGGCAAUUUCACGUGGGGGAGGAGCACGAGCAGGAAGGUAACCCUACUCGGCGUGUUUUAUGUAGUUUUUUCAGAGCUGUUGGGCGAAUUUUGUUUGGAGUUUUGUGAUCUGAUUUUGUGUGUGGUUGUAUUGGGAUGUACAUUACUUACACAUGUGACAUUCUCGAGCGUGACACUAUGUGUGUCCAUUUUGUGUUGUAUGGUAGUUAGCUAUCAGCAUAUCAAUACUUUGGAUUGUUUGAUUGGCUUGUUCAUCUUAAGCUCUUUCUUUGCAAUGUACACGUGCUAAUUGAAUAUAUUUAAAUUCGAGUACUCACACCAUUUACCUCUAUCUCUACUUACUUACAUAUAUGUCCGCCAAUCGGUGAACUUAGUAAAAUGUACCAGAACAAAAUAAUAUUUCCAGUUAAGUCACGGUGAUUCAAUGCUUCAAAGAAACCAGUUACAUAAGAUUUUUUUUUCUUUUUCAGAAAAUGUAUAAUCUUCAUAAAUUUCCUUUCAACUCUGAGGUCUGAGUGGUGAGAAGAUGUUUUGGUUCCUACACUAGGUGACUUCGGCAUUUUCUUCUUUACGCAUUCCCAUGGAGUUUUAUGCACUUAGAGCAUCUCUAGCCGCGCCCCCAACAGGCCCUCCCCAGGCCAUUUUUUCCCGCCAGCGAGGGAAAAACGGCCCAGUCGUGCCCCCAGGAGCCGUUUUUUCGCCGGUUAGGGCCGAAAUUGGCCUCGACGGUCCCAGCCCGAACCCAACGCGCUGGGGACGCAGGCGGAAGGAAAAACGACGUGUCAGGCCCUUGUCAGGCGAAAAUAGGUAUUUUUCUUCUCCGGAACCACCCCUCACGCACCACACCUUUCGCCACCGUGCCGAUUCCGGCGCCGCCCACCUGCCUACCGCCGCUACAAAGGCCAUCUCCCCGUCGACGGAUGUAGGGUUCGCCGCGGCUUCGCGCCCCUCCCCCGCCCCCCGCUUCUUGGCGAGUUCUCCCGGCGCUCCGAGCACGUACGCGGCCGCGCAUCCGCCACACCCGCCAGGUGUUCGAAGAUUUGCCUGGGUGAUGGACUCCGACGACAAGGAGACGUUCGCGGCGCUACUAGAGGAGGAAGCCGAUGCCGACGCCCAGGAUGAAGAACACCUCGUGGUCCUCACCUCUCUGGCCGGCCUAUUCGCGAGCAAUGCAAAGCCACGGUGAGGUGACUCGGCGUCGGGUCGGCUAAAGGCAAAGCAGAGGCAUCGACUAGAAGGCUAUUGCUUGCUCUAUGCCGACUACUUCGCAUACGCUCCUCUACGCGGCGAUAAAGUAUUCCAGCGCCAUUAUCGUAUGAACCGGAAACUCUUCCUCAGGAUUGUGAAUUCCAUCAGAGAGUUUGACAGCUACUUCAAGUGCAAAAAGGAUUGCACCGGCACACUUGGAUUCACCUUGCUCCAUUAGUGCACGACAGCUAUGAGGAUGUUUCUAUACGGAGCUCCCAGUGAUAUUCUGAAAGACUAUGGACGCAUGGCCGAGUCCACCACCAUUGAGUGUUUCUACAAGUUCUGCAGGGCAGUGGUGGCAGUUUUUGGACCUCAAUAUUUGCGAUCACCCAAUGCUGAAGAAACUGCUCGGAUCCUAGCACAAAAUGCAAAAAGAGGAUUUCCUGGGAUGCUUGGAAGUAUCGACUGCAUGCAUUGGAAAUGGAAAAAUUGUUCAUUUGCUUGACAAGGGAUGUACAAAGGCGCCAAAGGAGGUUGUAGUGUGGUACUUGAGGCAGUGGCCACACAUGACCUCUGGAUUUGGCACUCCUUUGGUAUGCCAGGAACUCACAAUGAUAUCAACGUAUUGCAGUGCUCGAAUGUCUUUGCCAAGCUUGUUGAAGGUCAUGCUCCUCCGGUUAACUACGAGGUCAAUGGGCACCACUACAACAAGGGAUACUACCUAGCAGAUGGCAUCUAUCCGAGAUGGUCCACAUUUGUGAAAACUAUCUCAAAUUCUGCACCAGGAGGCAAGCACUCCUAUUUUGCCAAGCGUCAAGAAGCUUGCAGGAAGGAUGUCGAGCGGGCAUUUGGUGUGCUUCAAUCUCGUUUUGUUGUUGUCCGGUAACCCGCUCAGACCUGAUCGAAAGAUCAAAUGUGGAAAGUCAUGACUUGCUUAGUUGUCUUGCACAACAUGAUCAUUGAGAGCGAGCAGGAGGAGCCAGUGUUUGAUACUGAACCAUAUUACAGGCAAGGUCCUCUUGCCCAAGUUGAUCACCAGCUACCGGCAACCUGGACUGCCUUCCUCAACAUGCAUUAGGAGAUCCGAGACCCACAGGUGCAUCAACAACUGCAACACAAUUAGGUGGAGCACCUAUGAAGGCUGAAGGGCAACGCCUAGCUCGAUUUUUUAUUUGUACUGACUUGUUAAACUAUUUUUUGAUUUGUAUUGAUUUCUGUGAUGAAUUAUGUGAUAAAAAUAACUAUUGUUGUUCAAUUUGUGCUGAAGAAUGCCGAAUAUGGGCCAAAAGUGGGCCAAGUUUGCGCCGAAACUGGGCCGAAAGCGGCGGCUGGAGGGCGCCCUUGGGUGGGCGGCUGGAAACCCGACCCCCCCCCCCCCCUGCCGUUUUUAGCACCGGCGAAUCCCCAGGCGGCGCUAUUUCAGGCCCCGGGGGGCGAAUGGCUGGACAUGCUCUUAACAAUCAAACAACGCUCGUCUACUUCCAUACACCAAGUUUGGAGUGGUCUGAGUUAAAUGCUCACAGCAAGCGCAACACAACUCUUCUCAAAUAGAAAAUUCAAAAUUUAGUACAGAAAAUAUUAACCUUUGGGUUUUUAUUAGAUGGUUUAGCCUGCUUAUCCAAAUACUCACGCUUGAGCCGGAC
rnacentral:lncRNA from 1 species